rnacentral:rRNA from 1 species
GAGUAACACGUAGGUAACCUGCCCAUGUGCCCGGGAUAACUUCUGGAAACGGAUGCUAAAACCGGAUAGGUAGCAGACAAGCAUUUGACUGCUAUUAAAGUGGCUAAGGCCAUGAACAUGGAUGGACCUGCGGUGCAUUAGCUAGUUGGUGAGGUAACGGCCCACCAAGGCGACGAUGCAUAGCCGGCCUGAGAGGGCGGACGGCCACAUUGGGACUGAGACACGGCCCAAACUCCUACGGGAGGCAGCAUG